UACGUAGGGUGACGAGCGUUGUCCGGAAUUAUUGGGCGGUAAAGGGCUCGUAUGGCGGUUUGUCGCGUCGGGAUGUGAAAUUCCGACUGGCUUAACUGGUGGCUUGCUUUCGAUACGGGCGACUAGAGUGCGGUAGGGGAGGACUGGAAUUCCUGGUGUAGCGGUGAAAUGCGCAGAUAUCAGGAGGAACACCGGUGGCGAAGGCGGGUCUCUGGGCCGUAACUGACGCUGAGGGAGCGAAAGCGUGGGGAGCGAACAGG
rnacentral:rRNA from 1 species